rnacentral:rRNA from 1 species
UACGUAGGUGGCAAGCGUUAUCCGGAAUUAUUGGGCGUAAAGCGCGCGCAGGCGGUUUCUUAAGUCUGAUGUGAAAGCCCACGGCUCAACCGUGGAGGGUCAUUGGAAACUGGGGAACUUGAGUGCAGAAGAGAAAAGCGGAAUUCCACGUGUAGCGGUGAAAUGCGUAGAGAUGUGGAGGAACACCAGUGGCGAAGGCGGCUUUUUGGUCUGUAACUGACGCUGAGGCGCGAAAGCGUGGGGAGCAAGCAGG